CAUAGGUUAAUGAGGCGAACCGGGGGAACUGAAACAUCUAAGUACCCCGAGGAAAAGAAAUCAACCGAGAUUCCCCCAGUAGCGGCGAGCGAACGGGGAGGAGCCCAGAGCCUGAAUCAGUGUGUGUGUUAGUGGAAGCGUCUGGAAAGGCGCGCGAUACAGGGUGACAGCCCCGUACACAAAAAUGCACAUAUUGUGAGCUCGAUGAGUAGGGCGGGACACGUGGUAUCCUGUCUGAAUAUGGGGGGACCAUCCUCCAAGGCUAAAUACUCCUGACUGACCGAUAGUGAACCAGUACCGUGAGGGAAAGGCGAAAAGAACCCCGGCGAGGGGAGUGAAAAAGAACCUGAAACCGUGUACGUACAAGCAGUGGGAGCCUCUUAAUGGGGUGACUGCGUACCUUUUGUAUAAUGGGUCAGCGACUUAUAUUCUGUAGCAAGGUUAACCGAAUAGGGGAGCCGAAGGGAAACCGAGUCUUAACUGGGCGUUAAGUUGCAGGGUAUAGACCCGAAACCCGGUGAUCUAGCCAUGGGCAGGUUGAAGGUUGGGUAACACUAACUGGAGGACCGAACCGACUAAUGUUGAAAAAUUAGCGGAUGACUUGUGGCUGGGGGUGAAAGGCCAAUCAAACCGGGAGAUAGCUGGUUCUCCCCGAAAGCUAUUUAGGUAGCGCCUCGUGAAUUCAUCUCCGGGGGUAGAGCACUGUUUCGGCAAGGGGGUCAUCCCGACUUACCAACCCGAUGCAAACUGCGAAUACCGGAGAAUGUUAUCACGGGAGACACACGGCGGGUGCUAACGUCCGUCGUGAAGAGGGAAACAACCCAGACCGCCAGCUAAGGUCCCAAAGUCAUGGUUAAGUGGGAAACGAUGUGGGAAGGCCCAGACAGCCAGGAUGUUGGCUUAGAAGCAGCCAUCAUUUAAAGAAAGCGUAAUAGCUCACUGGUCGAGUCGGCCUGCGCGGAAGAUGUAACGGGGCUAAACCAUGCACCGAAGCUGCGGCAGCGACACUAUGUGUUGUUGGGUAGGGGAGCGUUCUGUAAGCCUGUGAAGGUGGCCUGUGAGGGUUGCUGGAGGUAUCAGAAGUGCGAAUGCUGACAUAAGUAACGAUAAAGCGGGUGAAAAGCCCGCUCGCCGGAAGACCAAGGGUUCCUGUCCAACGUUAAUCGGGGCAGGGUGAGUCGACCCCUAAGGCGAGGCCGAAAGGCGUAGUCGAUGGGAAACAGGUUAAUAUUCCUGUACUUGGUGUUACUGCGAAGGGGGGACGGAGAAGGCUAUGUUGGCCGGGCGACGGUUGUCCCGGUUUAAGCGUGUAGGCUGGUUUUCCAGGCAAAUCCGGAAAAUCAAGGCUGAGGCGUGAUGACGAGGCACUACGGUGCUGAAGCGACAAAUGCCCUGCUUCCAGGAAAAGCCUCUAAGCAUCAGGUAACAUCAAAUCGUACCCCAAACCGACACAGGUGGUCAGGUAGAGAAUACCAAGGCGCUUGAGAGAACUCGGGUGAAGGAACUAGGCAAAAUGGUGCCGUAACUUCGGGAGAAGGCACGCUGAUAUGUAGGUGAAGCGACUUGCUCGUGGAGCUGAAAUCAGUCGAAGAUACCAGCUGGCUGCAACUGUUUAUUAAAAACACAGCACUGUGCAAACACGAAAGUGGACGUAUACGGUGUGACGCCUGCCCGGUGCCGGAAGGUUAAUUGAUGGGGUUAGCGGUAACGCGAAGCUCUUGAUCGAAGCCCCGGUAAACGGCGGCCGUAACUAUAACGGUCCUAAGGUAGCGAAAUUCCUUGUCGGGUAAGUUCCGACCUGCACGAAUGGCGUAAUGAUGGCCAGGCUGUCUCCACCCGAGACUCAGUGAAAUUGAACUCGCUGUGAAGAUGCAGUGUACCCGCGGCAAGACGGAAAGACCCCGUGAACCUUUACUAUAGCUUGACACUGAACAUUGAGCCUUGAUGUGUAGGAUAGGUGGGAGGCUUUGAAGUGUGGACGCCAGUCUGCAUGGAGCCGACCUUGAAAUACCACCCUUUAAUGUUUGAUGUUCUAACGUGGGCCCCUUACCGGGGUUGCGGACAGUGUCUGGUGGGUAGUUUGACUGGGGCGGUCUCCUCCUAAAGAGUAACGGAGGAGCACGAAGGUUGGCUAAUCCUGGUCGGACAUCAGGAGGUUAGUGCAAUGGCAUAAGCCAGCUUGACUGCGAGCGUGACGGCGCGAGCAGGUGCGAAAGCAGGUCAUAGUGAUCCGGUGGUUCUGAAUGGAAGGGCCAUCGCUCAACGGAUAAAAGGUACUCCGGGGAUAACAGGCUGAUACCGCCCAAGAGUUCAUAUCGACGGCGGUGUUUGGCACCUCGAUGUCGGCUCAUCACAUCCUGGGGCUGAAGUAGGUCCCAAGGGUAUGGCUGUUCGCCAUUUAAAGUGGUACGCGAGCUGGGUUUAGAACGUCGUGAGACAGUUCGGUCCCUAUCUGCCGUGGGCGCUGGAGAACUGAGGGGGGCUGCUCCUAGUACGAGAGGACCGGAGUGGACGCAUCACUGGUGUUCGGGUUGUCAUGCCAAUGGCACUGCCCGGUAGCUAAAUGCGGAAGAGAUAAGUGCUGAAAGCAUCUAAGCACGAAACUUGCCCCGAGAUGAGUUCUCCCUGACUCCUUGAGAGUCCUGAAGGAACGUUGAAGACGACGAC
rnacentral:rRNA from 1 species